CCUACGGGGGGCAGCAGUGGGGAAUAUUGGACAAUGGGGGCAACCCUGAUCCAGCCAUGCCGCGUGUGUGAAGAAGGCCCUCGGGUUGUAAAGCACUUUCAGUGAGGAAGAACGCCUGGUGGUUAAUACCCAUCAGGAAAGACAUCACUCACAGAAGAAGCACCGGCUAACUCCGUGCCAGCAGCCGCGGUAAUACGGAGGGUGCGAGCGUUAAUCGGAAUUACUGGGCGUAAAGCGCGCGUAGGUGGCUUGAUAAGCCGGUUGUGAAAGCCCCGGGCUCAACCUGGGAACGGCAUCCGGAACUGUCAAGCUAGAGUGCAGGAGAGGAAGGUAGAAUUCCCGGUGUAGCGGUGAAAUGCGUAGAGAUCGGGAGGAAUACCAGUGGCGAAGGCGGCCUUCUGGACUGACACUGACACUGAGGUGCGAAAGCGUGGGUAGCAAACAGGAUUAGAUACCCCGGUAGUC
rnacentral:rRNA from 1 species